GACAAAUUUACCACAGGUGUCAGCAAACCGCAGCCAUGGCCAGAUCCAGCCCGCCAGCUGUUUUUGUAAGUAAAGUUUUAUUGGCGCACAGCCGCGUGCAUUCGUUCGCAGUUUGUCUGUGGCGGCUUCCACCCAGCAACGGCAGAGUUCAGCAGCUGCAACAGAGACAGUAUGACCCUCCAGGCUGACAGUGUUUUCUGUCUGGCCCUUGGCAGAAAGUUUGCCAGCUCCUAACUUAGAAGACCUGUGUGUUGAUCUUACCUUUCUGUCUGAUUCUCUUUAUUACCCUGAGAGCCCUAGUUAACCUCUCUGCCUCAGUUCUCCCAGGUGUCAAGCAGCCAUGCGCCCCGUGUGGACAGAUGGAGAAAGUAUCCGUGAGGGCUGUGGAUUAUAUAAAGUAUGGGGAAAAGGGAGUGAUAAGUUAAGAAGAGGAAAACAAUACUUCCAAAUCUGGGAGAGAGAGAGAGCACAGAUGGCUUCAGGGUGGCCACAAUGUCCUUAUGCACGCCAACAGACAUUAUCUGUAUGAUUUUCUCCACUCUCCACACAAAUUUUAAUUUUCCCUCCAUUCUUCUGGACAUCAUCUCAUACGUUGAUGUUGCAAGUCAUUAAAGGAAUUCCUGGGAGGUAU
rnacentral:lncRNA from 1 species